rnacentral:rRNA from 1 species
GCUCCUACGGGAGGCUGCAGUGGGGAAUUUUGGACAAUGGGGGCAACCCUGAUCCAGCCAUGCCGCGUGAGUGAAGAAGGCCUUCGGGUUGUAAAGCUCUUUCGGCCGGGAAGAAAUCGUGUGGGCUAAUACCCUGCAUGGAUGACGGUACCGGAAUAAGAAGCACCGGCUAACUACGUGCCAGCAGCCGCGGUAAUACGUAGGGUGCGAGCGUUAAUCGGAAUUACUGGGCGUAAAGCGUGCGCAGGCGGUUUGGUAAGACAGGCGUGAAAGCCCCGGGCUCAACCGGGGAACUGCGCUUGUGACUGCCUCACUAGAGUACGGCAGAGGGGGGUGGAAUUCCACGUGUAGCAGUGAAAUGCGUAGAGAUGUGGAGGAACACCGAUGGCGAAGGCAGCCCCCUGGGUCGAUACUGACGCUCAUGCACGAAAGCGUGGGUAGCAAACAGGAUUAGAUAGUAGUC